AAAGGUAAACUUGCGGCUCAUUUCCUUUUCUCUUUCCUGAAUGUGUGUGAACUUUCAUCAGUGUUCAGGACGUUUGUCUGUUUUAUUCUAUAUCAGACUGAUGCAGAAUCAGUCUGGGGAGGAUUUUUUUGUAUGACAUUUCUGCUGUGGGGCUGGACUCAUGGG